rnacentral:rRNA from 1 species
ACAUCCAGAGAAUUUAGCAGAGAUGCUUUAGUGCCUUCGGGAACUCUGAGACAGGUGCUGCAUGGCUGUCGUCAGCUCGUGUUGUGAAAUGUUGGGUUAAAGUCCCCGNAACGAGCGCAACCCUUAUCCUUUGUUGCCAGCACGUAAUGGUGGGAACUCAAAGGAGACUGCCGGUGAUAAACCGGAGGAAGGUGGGGAUGACGUCAAGUCAUCAUGGCCCUUACGAGUAGGGCUACACACGUGCUACAAUGGCGCAUACAAAGAGAAGCGACCUCGCGAGAGCAAGCGGACCUCAUAAAGUGCGUCGUAGUCCGGAUUGGAGUCUGCAACUCGACUCCAUGAAGUCGGAAUCGCUAGUAAUCGUAAAUCAGAAUGUUACGGUGAAUACGUUCCCGGGCCUUGUACACACCGCCCGUCACACCAUGGGAGUGGGUUGCAAAAGAAGUAGAUAGCUUAACCUUCGGGAGGGCGUUUACCACUUUGUGAUUCAUGACUGGGGUGAAGUCGUAACAAGGUAAGCGUAGUGCU